UUGACCAUCGAAGCCUCUUGAUUUGUUUUAAUUUUGUUUUGUUAUAUUAAUCUCUGUUAAGACUUCAGACACUCAAAUAAAAAUAUUAUAUAUUUGUAUAUUAAUUGGAAACAUGUUAUGUGUGUUUAGUAAACAUGUGUCCACUAAAUUUUAUAUCUCAAAAGAAUAGUAGUAAAAAAGGCUUGGUUCAACAUCAACUUCUUAGAAAUUCUAAGUAAUAUUUUCUAAAGUUAUGAAAUUUUAAGGGUCUCAUGAAGCUUCAAGGCUUUAAUGAUACUGAAAUUAUCUUUUGGUUUUGCAUUUUGAUUCUUGUUGGCUUGUGAAAUUUUUUGUCUUUCAUCAUGUUGUGUAAUUUUUUCUGACGGAAUUUUAUUAGCUAUCCACUUUCAUGGAAGAAUUGUUCACUUUCAUUUCCAUCCUAAAAGUCAAAUUCAUGAAUGCUUGAGUUAUUUUUAUGAUGUAUAUGUAUAUCCUUUUCAAACCUAACAGAGCCUUAUGUUAGAGCUAUUAAGUUAUAACUGAACAUUUGGUUACAAUUCUGUAAUAUAUCCAAUGGGUAUAAGUUAUAACUUGUAAUAUAUUGUUUUUAGGCUUUCUUUAAUAUACAAUAGAUAUUCCCUUUUUGAAGCCAAAGGAUCACAAGUAUGAUUGGAGAGGUGUACUUCCAAGGAAGAAAUAUUUAUCAAACCUCUUGAAGGUUUAAAGCAGUGAUCUUAUUGCAUAUGGCUUAAUUCCUGAAUUUGUUGGACGGUUUCCUAUUCUUGUCAGUCAGUCAGCUUUAACUGAAAAUCAACUCAUUCAGGUGCCUUCUACUUUGGGACCUGUAGUUGUGAUCUCUUGGAUGAAAAAUGAGUUACUCGAGUUAUAAACCCUCUUUGGCCAUGAAGAGAUCUUUGAAAAGAAUCAAUUUAGGGAAGGUUGUACCCACUGGCUGUUUCCACUGGCUGUUUGAGACUGAACCGCAACCAUAUACUAUACCUUUGAACUCAUUAGUCAUGGUGUAAAACUAUUAGUAGCUCUGUAUUUGGUUUUGUCUUCACACUAGAAGUACAUUUAUGAUACUUUCAUGAUCGCAUAAUCUAAUGCUAGAAUUAUAUUUAUAAAACAUGGUUGAUCCUAAAUAAAUGCUAGAAUUGUAUUUACUUUCAUGAUUAA